UGGGGAAUAUUGGACAAUGGGCGAAAGCCUGAUCCAGCCAUGCCGCGUGUGUGAAGAAGGUCUUCGGAUUGUAAAGCACUUUAAGCGAGGAGGAGGCUACUAGUACUAAUACUACUGGAUAGUGGACGUUACUCGCAGAAUAAGCACCGGCUAACUCUGUGCCAGCAGCCGCGGUAAUACAGAGGGUGCGAGCGUUAAUCGGAUUACUGGGCGUAAAGCGUGCGUAGGCGGCUGAUUAAGUCGGAUGUGAAAUCCCUGAGCUUAACUUAGGAAUUGCAUUCGAUACUGGUCAGCUAGAGUAUGGGAGAGGAUGGUAGAAUUCCAGGUGUAGCGGUGAAAUGCGUAGAGAUCUGGAGGAAUACCGAUGGCGAAGGCAGCCAUCUGGCCUAAUACUGACGCUGAGGUACGAAAGCAUGGGGAGCAAACAGG
rnacentral:rRNA from 1 species